rnacentral:rRNA from 1 species
GUAGUCCACGCUGUAAACGAUGGGUACUAGGCUUUGUGGGAAUAGACCCCUGCAGAGCCGGAGCUAACGCAAUAAGUACCCCGCCUGGGAAGUACGGUCGCAAGACUAAAACUCAAAGGAAUUGACGGGGGCCCGCACAAGCGGUGGAUCAUGUGGUUUAAUUCGAAGCAACGCGCAAAACCUUACCUGGGUUUGACAUCCCCGGACCGCUGUAGAAAUACAGUUUUUGUAGCAAUACAACCGGGAGACAGGUGCUGCAUGGCUGUCGUCAGCUCGUGUGGUGACAUGUUGGGUUAAGUCCCGCAACGAGCGCAACCCUUGCCUUUAGUUGCCAGCAUUAAGUUGGGCACUCUAGAGGGACUGCCGUGGUUAACACGGA